rnacentral:rRNA from 1 species
UACGUAGGGUGCGAGCGUUAAUCGGAAUUACUGGGCGUAAAGUGUGCGCAGGCGGCCGCGCAAGUCGAGUGUGAAAUCCCCGAGCUUAACUUGGGAAUUGCGCUCGAAACUACGUGGCUGGAGUGUGGCAGAGGAAGGUGGAAUUCCACGUGUAGCGGUGAAAUGCGUAGAUAUGUGGAGGAACACCGAUGGCGAAGGCAGCCUUCUGGGCCAACACUGACGCUCAUGCACGAAAGCAUGGGGAGCAAACAGG